CAAGAGAAGAGCCGAAGCUGACAAUACCGUGCACUUCCCAUCUGCCAUCAGCACCUUGACAGUUCAGUGGGCCACCAGAGUCCCCCUGAGAGGAAGGGGGAUAAUAGAUAAUUGUGGUCACAGUGCAGGCCUGGAACAAGUUGCAUAAUCCACCACCAGCAAAAGACCUUGCUGCAGUUCAUCUGGAAGAGCUCCGUUUGCUGUGAGGGGAUAGAAACAAAGGAGUCACGAUACCAUGGCGCUGAAGGAAGAACAGAAGUGCAUCGUUAAGUUUCUCUCAGGAUAUGGACAAUAUUCCUCCAGUGUGCAGCUGUCAUUACCCAGUUGGUUGCAAUGAGGGUUCCUCCGCAAGUAUGAUACCAUUUGCCACUUGAUUGGUAUUGAAGGGAGGCCUAGGAUCAACAUAUCAAACCAAGUUGCAUGUGUUUUAGCAUGCCAUAUUUCUUCAAUUAAACAAACUGUCUAGUCUAAAUAAGUUGAAGUAUCUUUCUUGGACUCAGUGGACAUCAUACUGUUGGCAGCAGUGCAUCGAAAACCUCAGCCUCCAGCUGAUACCAAUAUGGCUUUGUAACAGCUCCCUGGAAGCUCUUAACUCCAUGCCAGCUAUUUCACAGAAACUCCGCAGUUCCCAGGACUUCAGGAAGAGAGAGCACAGGAACUUCUGGUAUGUUCUGUUAAAGCAUAAUAACUAAUAUAUCUGUUAAAUAUACUUAACGUACAAUUACUUAUGUACUCUGUUGCUUCACUUCUUUCAAUCUAUUCCCUUGUAGGGUAGUAAACAUGCUAGACCAAUUAGUAAUUGGAGCAGUCUGCAGACAAGUAACAGAUAUAAAAAUCUACUUUUCUGAGGGAGGUUUUUCAUCUGAGACGAGACAGUAACCUAUUUAAAAAUCUGAAGUUAAAUCCUGCCCCAGCUUUUCACUGGGAGCACCAUACGUGCCAUAUUCAUUUCUCACUGGAUGGCCAUUAAAUCUGCUGCUUGGUUUUUCUCUGGGUCUAUUUUU